UUCAAAUCAGAGCGCUUAGCCCCAGGACACUAUUCUCCAAGUCAAGCAUUCAAACAUACCCAUGGCGGCCACUUUAUACCACACACACCCUCUCACCCUUGUCUAUAUAAAGGCUGAAGCUAAUAGCAACAGCCUGUCAGCCUAAGGCACGAUGAACUGAGGGUUACGCGAGGGGAACUGACUUAAAAAGCUCUUGCUACGAUGAACGCAAGCAAGAGGUCUCCCUCAUUGGACAAUGCAAAUGUUACCUGGCUGUCCCAUAGGCAAGAAGACCAAGCGAGAAGAUUUUUCUUUCUCUGGCUAUAAAUACCUUCACGUCACAGUGGGUGAGCAUUCCCACAACCUGUGCCAAUGCUCUUGUGUUCUAACACGUAUGGUAUGUUAUUUGUAAUUGAAGUGUAUGAGCCGUCCGUUGUGAGUAAAUAUUAUUGCAAAGCAUUCCCUUCUGCUGUGAUUUUUUUGUUGUUGUUAAAACUACAUCAGCAGUGACUAAUCAACGUCAACUCCCAUUUUAGUGCAAAAGUCACGCACCAAGCGCCGACACAGCCCUGGGUGAAUAACAAACCAGAUGAGGGUUUACAAUCAAAACCAAUUGUACCACUUGGUGGAAUACAAGCCUAUUAUCUCCAGUAAAAGACACAAUCACAUAACACUGUCAUUUAUGCUAGUUGAGGUCAUUCAAAUUGCACACUUGAUGGUAAAAAUGGUUUAACAGCAGCUUUAAUGAAGACAGAUAACGUUACAGGCGAUACGAUCCAUUAGAACUUUGGGAUAAGUUUGCAUCGAGCUUUGCAUCGACAUGCUGAUAUUUUGGAUACUGUAUUGUGGCGCCAAAUAUUACAGAAAAAUUCAGCAGCCUACUCUUCUACACUACAGCCGCCGAUGACAAUAAUAACAAAUAAAUGUUUUUAAUAAAUACCCCAACAGUGCCAAUCAAAGUUAGAUAUCAAACAUAUUCAAUAUUCAUUUAUAUGCUUAUCAAAUGUGCUGCUUCUGCAUGGAUUGCAUUUAUCCAGAGAAUGUAUAAUGUUUACACAUGCUCCCUUGACUUGUAACAUUCAUGUGCUGUUGUUAAGAAUCCCAACUCAGGGUUGGGUCGGUUUCUGUCAUUCUGUUUUAAUCCUGUCUGAUGGGUUUUGGGGCUCUCAGACACAUUUUCUUUACCUCUUCCGGUGCUUGGAUUGUUUUAGGUUGCGUUUUCCUCAACAUCAGAAAAAUUGCAUCUUGAUUUGCAGAGACGUGCGUAAUUAACAACUGGCCAAGAGAGACCGUUGAAACUUUACUCUUUUCGCAACUGGAUUAUUGAGUAAUAACAUGAUAAGGAGGGCCAGGAGUCAUUCCAGUCAGAGAUGGCGGUGAUGCAUUGGUUUAUACUGAUCAUAUAUGUCUUUAACUUACAAAUGCUUCAUUGCGGUCCUGAUUUUUCUUCAAACCGCGUCUAACUUGACAAUGAGACAAUUCAACAAUAAAACCGCUGAUGUCCGCAUACGAUAAGCCACAAAGCUUCAGUCACUGCAGCCUGGCGGUGUAAAUUGCCGCGUGCUGUAUUGUGCCAACACUUGCAUUACCCAAAGCGUAAAUUUGACAUGGUAUGCGCUACAAUACAUUGAUGCAGUAUAUUUGCAACUCAUUAAAGUGUUAAAAUUUCUGUAAACCCCAUUGUUACUUGAAUGACUCAUGGUGACUACUCACCUCGUAGUGCUUCAUCUUGUCAGUCCUUUCCUUGGUAUUCCAAAUGAUUGACACGGCAACCUCCAAUCAGAGAAAAACAUCCAUACCCUAAACGGAUAUUGGGCGGGUUAAAGAAUGCUUAUUAACCAAUCAGAACGAGUGUUAACCAAUCAGAACGAGUGUUAGUCGGAAGAAUCCGCCCACAGUAUCUCCUUCCGAGCAAAUAGGAUUCAGUAAAUUAGGAGGUCCAUCAUCGUCGAUAACAAUGUACGGUGUGCUCAAAAUGUACAUCCCCUUGCAGAAUUAGAGAAAUGUUCCCAUUUCUAGGGAAACUACAGAUGAAACCAUCUCAAUGGUACACAUCUUUCAAAUUCUUCCAGGCUAUUUAAACUUGUGAGCCCAACGAUACAUCAUGUAUUAAUGCCAAAAUUGUGAUUUUAUAAAUCUUCUGUUGAUGAACUUUCAAAACACAUAUAACUGAUAAAGUAUGUUUUAAAUACGC